UCUGCCCUAUCAACUUUCGAUGGUAGGAUUGUGGCCUACCAUGGUGGCAACGGGUAACGGAGAAUUAGGGUUCGAUUCCGGAGAGGGAGCCUGAGAAACGGCUACCACAUCCAAGGAAGGCAGCAGGCGCGCAAAUUACCCAAUCCCGACUCGGGGAGGUAGUGACAAUAAAUACUGAUACAGGGCUCUUUUGGGUCUUGUAAUUGGAAUGAGUACAAUUAAAUCCCUAACGAGACA
rnacentral:rRNA from 1 species